rnacentral:rRNA from 1 species
CUGGCGGCAGGCCUAACACAUGCAAGUCGAGCGGCAGCACGGGUACUUGUACCUGGUGGCGAGCGGCGGACGGGUGAGUAAUGCCUAGGAAUCUGCCUGGUAGUGGGGGAUAACGCUCGGAAACGGACGCUAAUACCGCAUACGUCCUACGGGAGAAAGCAGGGGACCUUCGGGCCUUGCGCUAUCAGAUGAGCCUAGGUCGGAUUAGCUAGUUGGUGAGGUAAUGGCUCACCAAGGCGACGAUCCGUAACUGGUCUGAGAGGAUGAUCAGUCACACUGGAACUGAGACACGGUCCAGACUCCUACGGGAGGCAGCAGUGGGGAAUAUUGGACAAUGGGCGAAAGCCUGAUCCAGCCAUGCCGCGUGUGUGAAGAAGGUCUUCGGAUUGUAAAGCACUUUAAGUUGGGAGGAAGGGCAGUUACCUAAUACGUAUCUGUUUUGACGUUACCGACAGAAUAAGCACCGGCUAACUCUGUGCCAGCAGCCGCGGUAAUACAGAGGGUGCAAGCGUUAAUCGGAAUUACUGGGCGUAAAGCGCGCGUAGGUGGUUUGUUAAGUUGGAUGUGAAAUCCCCGGGCUCAACCUGGGAACUGCAUUCAAAACUGACAAGCUAGAGUAUGGUAGAGGGUGGUGGAAUUUCCUGUGUAGCGGUGAAAUGCGUAGAUAUAGGAAGGAACACCAGUGGCGAAGGCGACCACCUGGACUGAUACUGACACUGAGGUGCGAAAGCGUGGGGAGCAAACAGGAUUAGAUACCCUGGUAGUCCACGCCGUAAACGAUGUCAACUAGCCGUUGGGAGCCUUGAGCUCUUAGUGGCGCAGCUAACGCAUUAAGUUGACCGCCUGGGGAGUACGGCCGCAAGGUUAAAACUCAAAUGAAUUGACGGGGGCCCGCACAAGCGGUGGAGCAUG